UACGUAGGGUGCAAGCGUUGUCCGGAAUUAUUGGGCGUAAAGAGCUCGUAGGCGGUUUGUCGCGUCUGCUGUGAAAACUCAGGGCUUAACUCUGAGCUUGCAGUGGGUACGGGCAGACUAGAGUGCGGUAGGGGAGACUGGAAUUCCUGGUGUAGCGGUGAAAUGCGUAGAGAUCGGUAGGAACACCAGUGGCGAAGGCGGUCUCCUGGGGCACACUUGACGCUGAGACGCGAAAGCUGGGGGAGCGAACGGG
rnacentral:rRNA from 1 species